UGGGGAAUUUUGGACAAUGGGCGAAAGCCUGAUCCAGCAAUGCCGCGUGUGUGAAGAAGGCCUUCGGGUUGUAAAGCACUUUUGUCCGGAAAGAAAUCCUUGGCUCUAAUACAGUCGGGGGAUGACGGUACCGGAAGAAUAAGCACCGGCUAACUACGUGCCAGCAGCCGCGGUAAUACGUAGGGUGCAAGCGUUAAUCGGAAUUACUGGGCGUAAAGCGUGCGCAGGCGGUUUGCUAAGACCGAUGUGAAAUCCCCGGGCUCAACCUGGGAACUGCAUUGGUGACUGGCAGGCUAGAGUAUGGCAGAGGGGGGUAGAAUUCCACGUGUAGCAGUGAAAUGCGUAGAGAUGUGGAGGAAUACCGAUGGCGAAGGCAGCCCCCUGGGCCAAUACUGACGCUCAUGCACGAAAA
rnacentral:rRNA from 1 species